CUUCUAUUGACAGGUUGAUAACUCAGAUAUUAUAAUUUACAUGAUAUCUGAUUGCAUUAGUAAUAAUAAAAAUCACCCACAACGUUUCCAUACAAUCUGACUUCACGGCGUUGCCUCACCGCAGUUAUAGGUCUUGUUGUCGGCUAUGCAAUUCUGAGUUUUUUCCCAGACAGAAAUUGGGGAAUGCUGCACUCUGUGUCGCAUUGCAGUGAGUUCCCAUGACGAUGCUGGAAACGGCCAACACAAUAGAAUGUCAGCAAAACAGAUGUUUCCAGUGCAGAGCACAUGUUGCCCCUGUCAGAGGUGUAACCGUGGCACCCAAGUCCGUAUGACAGACCUUACGAACACCUGAUGACAUCAUCAUCAUCAUGAUCAUAGUCAUCAUCAUCUCCAUCGCCAUCAUCAUCAAACUGUAGCCCUUCCCUGGGUCAG
rnacentral:lncRNA from 1 species